UUGCAUUAUCGAUUCCAGGUACGGAUUCCGUACUCUUUCAGCGAGACUCUUUUGUUUUUAAUUUGUUCGUUUCGUUAUUCGUUUCGAAAUUUAGUAUUGUCGCUCAUAAUUGUUCCUUGUCAAUUUAUUGUGAUAAAUUUAUUUUGGCGUUGUAUUAGAACUCAUAUUUGUACUCUUUAGACUAGUGUAUCAUGUCUAAAUUUUAUUUUGAUAAUUAUAGUGAUGUACAUGUUAAUAUAUUUUUUUAGAGACUUGUG
rnacentral:lncRNA from 1 species